AUGCUUGGUUUCUCAUCUGCAGCAUCACAACACAGAGAGGUUUUUGUACGAUCAGUAAUAGGGAUUGUAUCACUGUGGUUGACUUUAGGUAGCGGCACCAGACUAGAUGUUGGAAGUAACAGUUCCCCCACACUCACCGUCCUGCCCCCCUCUAGUGAGGAGCUGUCCAGUACAACAACAGCCACACUGACGUGUCUGGCCAACAAGGGCUUCCCCUCAGACUGGACCAUGAGCUGGAAAGUGGACGGGACCAGCAAGAAGCAGGAGGCCAGUCCCGGGGUCCAGGAGAAGGACGGCCUGUACAGCUGGAGCAGCACACUGACUCUCACUUCCCAGGAGUGGACCAAGGCAGGAGAGGUGACCUGUGAAGCCCAGCAGAAAUCCCAGACUCCAGUCACCAAGACACUGAGGAGGGCUGACUGUUCUGGGUAGGACCCCUCAGUCACACACCCCCUGUGGAGAGAGGAUACUGGUUCCUCUGCUUUGACUUGCUUUGUUCUAAAAUCAGUCGCUCUUCAAUAUAGUGAUCACUCUGGUGUAGACUAAC